AGUUGAUCAAGAGAUUUUUUGAUAUUAUUGUUGAGGUUGUUAAUGAAAAAUUGAUAUCUUUAGAUUAAGAUAAAAGAUCUGAUUUAUAUUUAUUUCAGAUUAAGGGAUCCAUGUGAAUUUAUAAUUUAGAAAUUUUAGAUUUAGGAAUUGAUAUGGAGUUCCUUUGCUUUUGUUAACGAGGUCCCUAAUUGAAUCUACUAUUAAAUGGAGAU
rnacentral:lncRNA from 1 species